UGAAUAUUCCCUCUGUCCUGAAUUACUUGUCGCAGAAAUGAAUAAAAAUCAAUGUAUCUAAAAUUUAAAUACGUCUAGAUGCACCUAUUUUUACGACAAGAAAUUUCAGACGGAGGAAGUACAAU
rfam:Triticum aestivum genome assembly, contig: Triticum_aestivum_CS42_TGACv1_scaffold_249597_3DL